CAAAACCAAUGACUGGGGUGAAGUCGUAACAAGGUAGCCGUAUCGGAAGGUGCGGCUGGAUCACCUCCUUU
rnacentral:ncRNA from 1 species